rnacentral:rRNA from 1 species
CCCUUAGAUGUCCUGGGCCGCACGCGCGUUACACUGAUGCAUUCAACGAGCUUAUAACCUUGGCCGAGAGGCCUGGGCAAUCUUGUUAACGUGCAUCGUGAUAGGGAUAGAUUAUUGAAAUUAUUAAUCUUGAACGAGGAAUUCCUAGUAAACGCAGAUCAUCAAUCUGCAUUGAUUACGUCCCUGCCCUUUGUACACACCGCCCGUCGCACCUACCGAUUGGAUGGUCCGGUGAAGCCUCGGGAUUGUGGUUCUUGCCUCUUUAUUGUGGCGUGACCGCGAGAACUUGUCUAAACCUUAUCAUCUAGAGGAAGGUGAAGUCGUAACA